GUCGAGCGCCCAGCAAUGGGAGCGGCAGACGGGUGAGUAACGCGUGGGGUCUGCCCGAUGGUACGGAAUAAUUCCGGGAAACUGGGACUAAUACCGUAUGUGCCCGCAAGGGGAAAGAUUUAUCGCCAUCGGAUGAACCCGCGUCGGAUUAGCUAGUUGGUGUGGUAAAGGCGCACCAAGGCGACGAUCCGUAGCUGGUCUGAGAGGAUGAUCAGCCACACUGGGACUGAGACACGGCCCAGACUCCUACGGGAGGCAGCAGUGGGGAAUAUUGGACAAUGGGCGCAAGCCUGAUCCAGCCAUGCCGCGUGAGUGAUGAAGGCCUUAGGGUUGUAAAGCUCUUUCGCCGGUGAAGAUAAUGACGGUAACCGGAGAAGAAGCCCCGGCUAACUUCGUGCCAGCAGCCGCGGUAAUACGAAGGGGGCAAGCGUUGCUCGGAAUCACUGGGCGUAAAGCGCACGUAGGCGGGUCGUUAAGUCAGAGGUGAAAGCCUGGAGCUCAACUCCAGAACUGCCUUUGAUACUGGCGACCUCGAGUUCGAGAGAGGUUGGUGGAACUCCGAGUGUAGAGGUGAAAUUCGUAGAUAUUCGGAAGAACACCGUGGCGAAGGCGGCCAACUGGCUCGAUACUGACGCUGAGGUGCGAAGCGUGGGGAGCAACAGGAU
rnacentral:rRNA from 1 species